rnacentral:tRNA from 1 species
GGGAAUGUAGCUCAGUUUUUGGUAGAGCAGUAGCCUGAAAAGCUUCGUGUCGUAGGUUCGAUUCCUAUCAUUCCCACCA